rnacentral:lncRNA from 1 species
CCGCAGAGGUCGUGGAUCGCCUGGUAGAUGUCUUUUGGGGAGGCAUCAGGUGGAGACCUGGAGGGAGAAGAAGAAGAGGAUGCCGAAGAAGAUGACUGGAGUCAGUCCUGUUGAGCACUCCUUUAAGAACAAGGGUACUACGAAGACACAGCGAGCCUUUCCUCUAGCACCAAUUCUGUUGGUGCAGAAUUCUGCCGAAGCCGAAG